ACCAAGGAAGAUGAAAACAUCAACUGUCACAGGAGAAGUCGGAUGGCUAUUCUCAGCACUGCAGGGAGCUUCAUCUCGUCUUGUAUUUGAUGGCAUAGUAUAACGGUGGCUCGAAGCCCAAGUUAAAUCAGAGACCAUGGAGUUACUGCAUCUGACACUUUGUCAGUGUGUUUGGAAAGCAACAGAACAUUUUGUCAGAGAAGAUCCAGACCUUAUUGCACUCUGGGAGACUUUCCACCAGCGUCCUCUGGAGAGGAUGCACAGUGACCAACCGUCUGAUGAAGCUACAUGAUUCAACAUGACAUGUUUAUUUGGAACUACGGUGGAAACUUAAAACGAGCUGAGAAUUUGAUGUUUUUCCACAAUUAAAGAUCUGAUUCUGGUGUAGUAAUUAAAACCGUAAAUCUUUUGGAUAUGCCAUAUUAUAGUUUCAAUAUGCCAUAUAUUUCUAAUCUGUGAGUGAGGAAACUGGCCAAUUCUUGAUGCCAGAUGCAAAAUUCUACUGAUUUAUAUUGGCAUUUGAGAACAUUACUAUAUCUCUGUUGGUUUUCUCACCGUCUUGCCCACUUCCACAAGGCAAUCCUUGUCCCUGGGAACCACACACUUGAUCUGGGAGUGCCUGCAUGACAAAUAAAGAUGACCCAGGACGCGUGUAUACAUAGAUCUCUGGGAAAAAGAUGUCACCAGACACUCCAGGGGAAUCAUGCAUGUGUGGGACACAGGAGCUGUUCCAAAAAUAGAUACAGACCUCUUGUUUGGAGAUGGUUAGAGGAAUGCAGCGCCCCCCCAUCGACUUGUUUUCACAGGAUUGACACAGGAAAAAGGCAAAGAUCCUCCUGAAACACCAGCAACAUUCAAUCUCAUCAUACAUAUUAUAAGUUUUGUAAAUUUCGGGAAUUUUCUUCAGGCCUCAUCCCUGGAUGAUAAAAUAAUAAUAAAACUGACAAAACUCUGUUUCCCAAAAUAAAUUGAUCAAUCAA